rnacentral:rRNA from 1 species
GCUUGGAAGCAGCCAUUCAUUUAAAGAGUGCGUAACAGCUCACUAGUCGAGGAGUUUGGCGUGGAUAAUAAUCGGGCAUUAAGUAUUCUACCGAAGCUUUGGGAUGUUUAAACAUCGGUAGGGGAGCAUUCCACUCAGCGUUGAAGGUGAGGCGUGAGCCUUGCUGGAGCGUGUGGAAAAGCAAAUGUAGGUAUAAGUAACGAUAAAGGGGGUGAGAAACCCCCUCGCCGAAAGACUAAGGUUUCCUGAUCAACGCUAAUCGGAUCAGGGUUAGUCGGGUCCUAAGGCUCAGCCGAACGGCGAGGCCGAUGGCAGAACCGGUUAAUAUUCCGGUACUACCUCAAGGAGUGACGUGGAGACGGAGCAGUGACAGUGCCGCGGACUGACGGAAUAGUCCGUUAAAGGGUGUAGAUGUUGAUUCCUGCAGGCAAAUCCGCAGGAAGAGUCGAACCUGACAGUAUGGAGCGUCCUUCGGGACAAUCCAAUAGUGCACGUAAGCAUACUCCCGAGAAAAUCCGCUAAACUUAAUCCUUGUGGUACCCGUACCGCAAACGGACACACGUAGUCGGGUUGAAUAUACUAAGGCGCUUGAGUGAUUCACGGUUAAGGAACUAGGCAAACUGACCCUGUAACUUCGGGAUAAAGGGUCCUCAGGGUGACUUGAGGCGCAGAGAAUCGGUCCAGGCAACUGUUUAACAAAAACACAGGGCUGUGCAAAAUAGAAAUAUGAAGUAUACAGCCUGACACCUGCCCGGUGCUGGAAGGUUAAGAGGAGAUGUCAUCGCAAGAGAAGCAUUGAAUUGAAGCCCCAGUAAACGGCGGCCGUAACUAUAACGGUCCUAAGGUAGCGAAAUUCCUUGUCGGGUAAGUUCCGACCUGCACGAAUGGUGUAAUGAUCUGGACGCUGUCUCAACCGUGAGCUCAGUGAAAUUGUAGUAUCGGUGAAGAUGCCGAUUACCCGCGAUGGGACGAAAAGACCCCGUGAACCUUUACUAUAGCUUAACAUUGAAUUUGGGUAAUUGAUGUGUAGGAUAGGCCGGAGGCUUCGAAGCAGGUACGCCAGUAUUUGUGGAGCCGCUGUUGAAAUACGGCCCUUUGAUUAUUUGAGUUCUAACCCGUUGUAACGGGGACACUGUUUGGUGGGUAGUUUGACUGGGGUGGUCGCCUCCAAAAGCGUAACGGAGGCUUCUAAAGGUGCCCUCACGACGAUUGGUAACCGUCGGCAGAGUGUAAUGGCAUAAGGGCGCUUGACUGGGAGACUAACAAGUCGAUCAGGUAGGAAACUAGAGCAUAGUGAUCCGGUGUUUCUGUAUGGAAAGGACAUCGCUCAAAGGAUAAAAGGUACUCCGGGGAUAACAGGCUGAUCCCUCCCA